GGGCGAAUGGUUUAGUGGUAUAAUACUCCCUUAGCAAGUUUCCUCCGAAACCCAAAUUGGGAGUGGUCCAGGGUUCGAUUCCCUGUUCGUCCA
rnacentral:tRNA from 1 species